AUGGCUGCCAGGCCUGUAGUAUCCUGUACAGAAAGGUUUGACUUCACAAAAGUUUUUUGGUUGGAAAACUUUGGACUUCACAGGAUUAUGCAGAAGCAACACAUAAACAAGAUUAUGCCGUGUUAUUAUACAGCAACUUCACAGGAUUUGUUCUUUUUAAUAGUAGUUGGAGCAAGAUGCCCCAGGCAGAGCACACGUAAACAAGGUUUUGUAAGCAUACGACCUGAUGAUUUGCAACCACUGCUCCAUUCCAAUUCUCCGUGUAAUAGUAGUGACCUAAAACAUCUAUACAGAGGGAGUAUUAAUUAG
rnacentral:rRNA from 1 species